GUAUUAGUUGCCUUGGGAAAUCAUGAGCCUCCAACAUCAAAUAGCACAGUCAGUGGCCAUUUACUACCUAAUCACAGUCUAACUUCUCCAAGUCAAGUCAACCUGUCUGCAGAUACAGUACCAGUGUUCUCUUAUUCUAGCAGUAAAGAUGACUUCUACGAUGCUGGUGAAUUCUCCAAAAGUGGUUCAUUCUCAAAGUACUUUAAUAGAAUCUUCUUGAUCCUUCUUAGUCUUGACACAAAGUAGCUCUGGAAGUAGUCUAAAGUGCCUACUUACCACAGAAUCAUUUAAUUACUUCAUAUCCAGUGGAACAAGUGAUGCUCAUCUUUUUGAUUUACAUGGUGAUAGAGAGGAUGUUGCAGAGGCAGUCAGCAGAGGAGCAUAAGAGCAUUAUCAUGAAUGUCUUGUCAUGGGUUAGACUUGGAAUGAAUCUUACUAAGAUAGAAUGAAAAUAGUUCUUCAAACAUUUAUUCUCGAGAGAUCUCUUAGAAAUGUAUGCAGACUUUUUUUUUGCAUCUGUUUUUGAACAUUAGUGAUGAGAAGGGUCCUAGUGAGUGAAUGGUUUAGGUUAUAAAAUGGUACCUCUCAGCCUUUCAUGCAAGAAAAAAAAAAAAAGAAUUGGUUGCCAAAAUGUCAUACAACACCAUUUUCAGUGAGAUGUUUUAGUAUCACUAGAUAUUACCUAAUGAUAUUGAAGAUAACACAGAGCUAGUUUCAGAAGCACCAGUUGCCUAGGUCUCCAAAAAUAGUGUAACAUUCAUGGCUUAGCAGGUUUCCCAUCAUGCAUCCAUUGCAGCCUUUUAUUCUGAGUGUUUUAACAAGAAGAUACAAUUUGAUGCUCAUAUCUGGAACAAAUAAAAAUUCCAUGGGAUGUCAAUUGAGGUGCACAGCUAGGGCAAGGCUAUGUCUUCUGUCUAGAAUAUGAUGAGCACUACACUUUCACAUUCCCCUGUGGUUAUGGAAGGUUUAUCCUCACAGUGCCCUGUGGGGAAUUAGGGAGAGAAUGCAACAUUAAAUGUUUCAAACUGGGCUAUAGCGUCUUCUACACUUUCUGUGGGGGCAAGAAGCACAGAAUUAUCCCUGACAUUUUUUCUCCAAAUGACAAGAAGUCUUUUUGCUCAAUUGAAGGGAAAUGGAAUGAUGUAAUGCAUGCCCAGUAUGCAAAAAGGGGAAAACACCGCCUUUGUUGAUAUCAUGAAGUUGCUUAUAAUCAAGAAGAAAGUGAGGAAAUUGAAAGAACAGAAUGAGGAUAAAUCCAGCUGCCUUUGGAAAGAUGUCAUUCAACUUAAGAAUCAGAGACUUUGCUGUGUCAACUGAGGCAAAGCACAGACUUGCAGAAAGGCAAAGAGCAGAAGCCUGAGAAAGGAAGGAACAGAAAAUUCAAUGGGGACAAGGUAUUUCACGAAGACGGAGAAUGCUGGGUCUACUAUGAACCAUUGCAGAAAGAUUUUUGUGCUGCCAAGCAUUAG
rnacentral:lncRNA from 1 species